UUUAGCCGUCCAGACAAAAAGUAUAAAAAAGGAAGGGUCUCGCGGGGACGGGCUCCGUAAUCGCUCGCUCUCUCUCCUCGCGCGCGCACACCCUCUCUAUCGAUCGCCAAUUGCUGAAGUUUUCUGUGAUAUUGUUACUAUUCUCUGUUGUUUUUCCAUAGAUAUAUUUAUGUGCUUUUCUCUCUAUUUUGCAGGUAAUUUUUUUUGGCUCAUUUUCUUUGAGUUAGGGUUGCAGGUUCUCAAUCUUCCUAUGCAUGAAUCCUCGAAGAGCAGAUGGUUCCAAGAAAACCACCUUCAAGGCAAUAGGGCUUGAUGGUAAGAGCCUUCUUCUAUUGAAGUUGCUGAUUAUUGCAGAAAAUAAAUAUAAUGAGUUCAUUUGCAACAGAGAUUUAUAUCUUCUAGUUGCAAAAUUGUUUUCCUCCUUAGUAGGUUGAGAUCAUUCUUGUCGUACUCUUGGAAUGGUAUGAAAUAUUCUUUUCUCAGUGUUUCAUUUUUAAUAGAUUGCUACUUUUGUUUUCCUCUUUCAAUAAGAAUUAUUUACUGGAAUGAGGUGCAGUUUGUCUCUGUUGGAUGGAUUUAGUUGUUAAGGGUGAUGUAGAUUCUAAGUGAACCAGGAUAAUAACAUUGACUUAUUGUAAAUGGGAGACUGCAUCCAUGUCCAAUUGUCCAUAAAUGAAAGCUGUAAUCCAGUUUUCCGCAUAGGAGAAACUGUUGAACUUGGUGUUCUUUCUUGUUGGAUUUUAAAUACUUUAAAAGUGUACAUAUUGGGUGCCCUGUCUUAAAGUCCUAUGUUUGCAGGCAUGGUGGCAGACGAGGCAGGGAUCUCUCAAUUUGGGUGCUCUGUUUCGCUUUGAUGUUCCAUAUAACUAUUGUUGGUUCUUCCGAAUAUGUUUUCUUUAUUGUUUGCUUCUUCUCAUUAUUUUAAUUUCUUUUCUUUUAUUGGUUUAUGUCCUUUGGAUGUAAGUUACAUGCAGAUUGGUCACUGGACGAGAUGGUCAUAUUUUGAUUUUAUUGUCAACUUUUGUAGAUGUAUUACUUAUUAAUUAGCUGUUAGUUUUUUACCUAGCCACAAAUGUAUGCCAAAGAUAGAUAGGGGUAUAAUUGAAAUGACAUGCUUGUAUUAAUGGCUGGAAAGAUCAUCAUCAUCGUCAUCACCAUCCAAGCCUUAUCCCUACUAUUUGGGGUUGGCUGCACAAAUCCUGUUAUGCCAUUCCACUCCAUCAAGGGUCACACCCUUAGUUCGACCAUAAGUCACCACAUGCCUUCUCACUACUCAAUGGUUGGAAACAAUACUCCAAUAAUUUUGGAUAAAUUCUAUUUCUUGUUCUAUUCAUAGUUACCAAGAUCUUCCAAAUAGGUGCAAUCCCGCUCUGGGAUCUCACUUCCGUGCUCAAGGAAAGGGUUCUCAAUUUCUAAAUUUUGGGAUCUCGAUCCCUGCUGUUAGUAAUCCUUAUUCCUACUAUUAGGGAUCUCGAUUCCAACCUUAAAGACUAUGACAACAAGCAAACUAAUGAUUUUCCUUACUUAUAGCUAGUUAGCAUGAUAAGUACAAUUCCAAUAUAGUUGCAUUGCUUGUUGGCUAUAACUAAAGAGAUACCUACUUUAAAGAUUGUAUAUGAUCUUAGAUCCAAGAAGGUUGGGAUCAAGAUUCCCAAAAAGUUGGAAUCUCGAUCUCUAACAUUAGGGAUCUUCACCCCUAACAUAUGCACUGCAUGGACGACACUCCCAACCAUAGGGAUCUUGUAGCAUUUCACGAUCCCUCACUUCUGAUCUCAAUUCUGCUCCCAAAACCAACAACUAUGGUUCUGUUGUAUUUUAAAAUAGUUCCCAAAUGGGAACAUUCAUGAGUGGCACAAGAUGAAGCAUGGAGUGGACAAAUACCAUGGGAGCAUCUUAAGUUGUUUGGUUUGGUUUCAUUCUUGUGACACUACUACUCAUAACGAACCUCUUGGCAAGGUUGUCCAUUUGGCUAGACAUGAUCUCAAACUAUCUCUUGAUUAUUUUACAAUUUUCUGCUUAAGGAAUUCCACAAUACAAGAUUCUGUCAUUGCCAAAUUGUUGAUGGGUCACCUUACUAUCUCAAGGUGUGAAGCUAUUAAUGCAACCAUGAUAAGUUCAUCCACAAACCUCUCAAAAGAUCAGAAAAUAAAUUUUAAGAGGAAAAAUUCAUGUCAAUAUCCCUUUUGAAGGCAUUCUAUACCCUUAAAUAUACCUUUGGGGUUUUCUUGACUAUGAUUGUGAUGGAUAUCAAGAACAUGCAGUUUUAAUCCAUCUAUUACCAAAACUCAUCCAGCCAUUGAAGUAGUCAAGGAAGUCACCAUCAACAUGGUCUUGAGCCAUUCCUAUGUCUAUAAUCACCACCAUACCGAGACUUCCAUUGUUGUAUUUAGUCUUUAAUACCAUGGACUUCUGGCUAGGAUUUGCUUUUCUCUAAGUACAUAUCCCUGCAAGGGAGUUUGACUAUGUUGAAGGAUUAUCUUAGGCAUUUAUGACAAGUACUAAAACCAAAGAUAGAAUGGGUAAAUGCACUCGCAAGGUAAUAUACACACACACACACACACUAACUCUGCCAUGACUGGUCUCAAGCCCGGAAAAAGGAGGAGGGUUGUGUGAGGUGGGCAGCUGGCAUGAAACUUGUUUAAGAUGUAUGUCCCUUACUUGGGAUUAGGCUCGGAUGAUGAUGACGAUUAUGAUAAUAUAUAUACACAAUAGCUUGUUUAAGAAGUAUGUCCCUUGCUAAGCUGAUUGAUUUUUUAAAUAUUGAUGAAACCGUACAUAGUGAUUGAUCAUUUGAAUGAAAGCCAUGUCAGUAUUGAUCAUUAGUCUUAGCGUUUUAAUGCGAAGCCAAUUUGGUCACUUGAUGCAGUGUAAAGUGGGUUUGCUUGAGGUAAAUUCCUUGUUGGUAUGCUGUUAUCAAAUUUUCAUGCUGCAUUUUAAACAGCUAGUCUUUCUUUGUGGUGAAUUCAUUCUUGUGAUUUUUUUUACACUCAAAAGUGGAUGAUUGGUGUUAUUGCUAUCAUGUUGCCUUUGUUUGCAAGUUGGUUGAUUUUGAGAUACUAAGAAGCUUUUGUGGGGGAGUGCUAUGUUGUCUUUAGUUUCAGGAGAUCACAUGAAACCAUUAUGCUUGAGGCGUGUGAUAACUUGACCGUGAAGUGGAUCCUAACCUGCAAUAUUUUCACUCUAGAAAGUGGUACAGUUUCAAAGUGUCAUUGAGCUUUGCAUAAUGAAUUGGGGUUGGUUUUCAUGGAUAGUUUUAGUCUUGAAUUGGGGUUGUCAUGGAAUCCCGAAUAAAAUGGAUGCCAACUGAGAUCGAGCUCUAAUCAGGACAAUCAAUGCAAUAUGGGUUUUGUUUGAUAUUGUAAUUUACCAGACAAGGAAGUGCCAGAUUCAGAUAUGUUUCAAGGCUUUCAAUGAUUUUUUUAUUUUUUUUCCUUCCAUAUGUUUCAUUGGUAUAUUGGCCUAUUUGAUGGGCAUGAAAAUGCAAGUGAUGGUUACUUUGUAUAAUCUUAA